UCUAUUUCAUUGAGCCUCAUCAUCUGGCUAAAUUCUUCUGGAGAGGACAGUUUAAUGGAGAGAAUGAUGAUUUCAAGCGUUUUUCAUUCUUUGGUCGUGCAACACUUGAAUUGCUUCAUCGAGCUGGCAAGAAACUAGAUAUAAUCCAUCUCCAUGACCGGCAGACAGCGUUUGUUGCACCACUCUAUUGGGAUUUGUAUGCUCCUAGAGGUUUGAAUACGGCUAGAAUUUGCUUUACAUGCCACAAUUUUGAGUAUCAGGGGACAACACUUGCUUCAGAGUUGGCAUCCUGAGGCAUUGAUGUUCACCAGCUGAGUAGACAUGAUAGGAUGCGGGAAAAUGCAUCACAUGAUAGAGUCAAUCCAAUUAAGGGUGUGAUUGUGUUCUCCAACAUUGUAACAAUAGUAUCUCCAUCUUUCUCUCCCUGCCCCAACUCUCUCUCUAUGUCUCUACCCUGAUUUUGCUCAAAAAUAUGAUAACAUGGGGGCUGAAAUGGCUGUCCUUGUUCAGGAGGUUUGAUUGGAUUACUGCGUGGGAUAGAGAAAUUUGAUUCUUCAAAAGGGUAUAAAAUAUCAACUUAUGUAUAUUGAUGGAUUCGUCAGUUGAGGCCAUGGUUUCCUUUGUCAUAGCAAACCAAACAAAUAUCUGCAAAUGCCAAUUUUUUAUUUUUUUAAAAAAAAUUAUGUGAUACCAAAAAGAUUCACAUACACACUAGAUAAUGCUAUGAUAUGGCUAUUUUAAAAUUGUCGGAUAGAAAUGCUGAAUUUCUCUUACAAGAAGUGAUGACGAUGCCAAUAUUAGGGUAAGUGAAUUGAGAAUGUCAACC